ACGAACGCUGGCGGUAUGCUUAACACAUGCAAGUCGAACGAACAAAAUUGGGGCUUGCUCCAAUUUUAGUGAGUGGCAAACGGGUGAGUAACACGUGGGAAUCUACCCAUCAGUACGGAAUAACAUUUGGAAACAAAUGCUAAUACCGUAUAUUCUCUAAGGAGGAAAGAUUUAUCGCUGAUGGAUGAGCCCGCGUAAGAUUAGGUAGUUGGUAGGGUAAUGGCCUACCAAGCCGACGAUCUUUAGCUGGUCUGAGAGGAUGAUCAGCCACACUGGGACUGAGACACGGCCCAGACUCCUACGGGAGGCAGCAGUGGGGAAUAUUGGACAAUGGGCGAAAGCCUGAUCCAGCAAUACCGCGUGAAUGAUGAAGGCCUUAGGGUUGUAAAGUUCUUUUAGUUGGGAAGAUAAUGACGGUACCAACAGAAAAAGCCCCGGCUAACUCCGU
rnacentral:rRNA from 1 species